rnacentral:rRNA from 1 species
GACGAACGCUGGCGGCGUGCUUAACACAUGCAAGUCGAACGGAAAGGCCUUUUCGGAGGUACUCGAGUGGCGAACGGGUGAGUAACACGUGGGUGAUCUGCCCUGCACUCUGGGAUAAGCCUGGGAAACUGGGUCUAAUACCGGAUAGGACCGCACUUUAGUGUGUGUGGUGGAAAGUUUUUUCGGUGUAGGAUGAGCCCGCGGCCUAUCAGCUUGUUGGUGGGGUAAUGGCCUACCAAGGCGGCGACGGGUAGCCGGACUGAGAGGUUGGUCGGCCACAUUGGGACUGAGAUACGGCCCAGACUCCUACGGGAGGCAGCAGUGGGGAAUAUUGUACAAUGGGCGCAAGCCUGAUGCAGCGACGCCGCGUGGGGGAUGACGGCCUUCGGGUUGUAAACUCCUUUCGCCAGGGACGAAGCGUUUUGUGACGGUACCUGGAGAAGAAGCACCGGCUAACUACGUG